rnacentral:rRNA from 1 species
GAUUAGAUACCCUGGUAGUCCAUGCCGUAAACGAUGUCGACUUGGAGGUUGUUCCCUUGAGGAGUGGCUUCCGGAGCUAACGCGUUAAGUCGACCGCCUGGGGAGUACGGCCGCAAGGUUAAAACUCAAAUGAAUUGACGGGGGCCCGCACAAGCGGUGGAGCAUGUGGUUUAAUUCGAUGCAACGCGAAGAACCUUACCUACUCUUGACAUCCAGAGAACUUAGCAGAGAUGCUUUGGUGCCUUCGGGAACUCUGAGACAGGUGCUGCAUGGCUGUCGUCAGCUCGUGUUGUGAAAUGUUGGGUUAAGUCCCGCAACGAGCGCAACCCUUAUCCUUUGUUGCCAGCGAUUCGGUCGGGAACUCAAAGGAGACUGCCGGUGAUAAACCGGAGGAAGGUGGGGAUGACGUCAAGUCAUCAUGGCCCUUACGAGUAGGGCUACACACGUGCUACAAUGGCGCAUACAAAGAGAAGCGACCUCGCGAGAGCAAGCGGACCUCAUAAAGUGCGUCGUAGUCCGGAUCGGAGUCUGCAACUCGACUCCGUGAAGUCGGAAUCGCUAGUAAUCGUGGAUCAGAAUGCCACGGUGAAUACGUUCCCGGGCCUUGUACACACCGCCCGUCACACCAUGGGAGUGGGUUGCAAAAGAAGUAGGUAGCUUAACCUUCGGGAGGGCGCUUACCACUUUGUGAUUCAUGACUGGGGUGAAGUCGUAACAAGG